rnacentral:rRNA from 1 species
AGAGUUUGAUCCUGGCUCAGAAUGAACGCUGGCGGCAUGGAUUAGGCAUGCAAGUCGAACGGAAACGAUGGGAGCUUGCUCCCAGGCGUCGAGUGGCGAAAGGGUGAGGAACGCGUGAGUAAUCUACCUCAAAGUCGGGGAUAGCCCGGGGAAAGUGGGAUUAAUACCGGAUGUGGCGGUGGGCUUUCGGGCUGAUUUGCUAAAGAUUUAUUGCCUUGAGAUGGGCUCGCGUCCUAUUAGCUUGUUGGUGAGGUAACGGCUCACCAAGGCGACGACAGGUAGGUGGUCUGAGAGGACGAUCACCCACACUGGGACUGAGACACUGCCCAGACUCCUACGGGAGGCUGCAGUCGAGAAUCUUCCGCAAUGCGCGAAAGCGUGACGGAGCGAUGCCGCGUGAGGGAUGAAGGCUUUCGGGUCGUAAACCUCUGUCACCCGGGAUGAAUUUUGACAGUACCGGGAGAGGAAGCCACGGCUAACUACGUGCCAGCAGCCGCGGUAAUACGUAGGUGGCGAGCGUUAUUCGGAUUUAUUGGGCGUAAAGGGUCCGUAGGGGGUUUGUUAAGUCUGGCGUGAAAUCCCGCAGCUCAACUGCGGAACUGCACUGGAAACUGACAAACUAGAGCAUAGGAGAGGAGAGUGGAAUUCCUGGUGUAGCGGUGGAAUGCGUAGAUAUCAGGAGGAACACCGAAGGCGAAGGCAGCUCUCUGGACUAUUGCUGACCCUGAGGGACGAAAGCUAGGGGAGCGAACAGGAUUAGAUACCCUGGUAGUCCUAGCCGUAAACGUUGUACACUAGGUGUGGGGGGAUUUGACCCCCUCCGCGCCCAAGCUAACGCGAUAAGUGUACCGCCUGGGGAGUACGACGGCAACGUUAAAACUCAAAGGAAUUGACGGGGGCCCGCACAAGCGGUGGAGCAUGUGGCUUAAUUCGAGGCAACGCGAAGAACCUUACCUGGGCUUGACAUAUAUGGGACAGCCUGUGAAAGCAGGUUUCUCUUCGGAGCCGAUAUACAGGUGCUGCAUGGCUGUCGUCAGCUCGUGUCGUGAGAUGUUCGGUUAAGUCCGGCAACGAGCGCAACCCGUAUCACUAGUUGCCAGCGCGUAAUGGCGGGGACUCUAGUGAGACUGCCCGUGUUAAGCGGGAGGAAGGCGCGGAUGACGUCAAGUCAGCAUGGCCCUUACGCCCAGGGCUGCACACGUGCUACAAUGGCCGGUACAAUGGGCAGCAAUACCGCGAGGUGGAGCAAAUCCUCAAAACCGGCCCCAGUUCGGAUUGGAGUCUGCAACUCGACUCCAUGAAGUCGGAAUCGCUAGUAAAGGUGUAUCAGCUACGACCCCUUGAAUACGUUCCCGGGCCUUGUACACACCGCCCGUCACAUCACGGGAGCUGUCCGCACCCGAAGUCAUUGACCCAACUUGCACGAGAGGAAGGCGUCGAAGGUGUGCUCAGUGACUGGGAUGAAGUCGUAACAAGGUAGCCGUAGGGGAACCUGCGGCUG